UACAGAGGUCCCAAGCGUUGUUCGGAUUCACUGGGCGUAAAGGGUGCGCAGGUGGGCUGGUAAGUUCGAUGUGAAAGCCCCGGGCUUAACCCGGGAAUGGCAUUGGAUACUACUGGUCUGGAGGAUCGGAGGGGGGACUGGAAUUCUUGGUGUAGCAGUGAAAUGCGUAGAUAUCAAGAGGAGCACCAGUGGCGAAGGCGAGUCCCUGGACGAUACCUGACACUGAGGCACGAAAGCCAAGGGAGCAAACAGG
rnacentral:rRNA from 1 species